GAUCCUACGGGGCGCAGCAGUGGGGAAUAUUGGGCAGUGGGCGCAAGCCUGACCCAGCAACGCCGCGUGAAGGAAGAAGGCUUUCGGGUUGUAAACUUCUUUUGACAGGGAAGAGUAGAAGACGGUACCUGUCGAAUAAGCCACGGCUAACUACGUGCCAGCAGCCGCGGUAAUACGUAGGUGGCAAGCGUUAUCCGGAUUUACUGGGUGUAAAGGGCGUGUAGGCGGGACUGCAAGUCAGAUGUGAAAACCACGGGCUCAACCUGUGGCCUGCAUUUGAAACUGUAGUUCUUGAGUACUGGAGG
rnacentral:rRNA from 1 species